rnacentral:rRNA from 1 species
UACGGAGGGAGCUAGCGUUGUUCGGAAUUACUGGGCGUAAAGCGCACGUAGGCGGCUUUUUAAGUCAGGGGUGAAAUCCCGGGGCUCAACCCCGGAACUGCCCUUGAAACUGGGGAGCUAGAAUCUUGGAGAGGCGAGUGGAAUUCCGAGUGUAGAGGUGAAAUUCGUAGAUAUUCGGAAGAACACCAGUGGCGAAGGCGACUCGCUGGACAAGUAUUGACGCUGAGGUGCGAAAGCGUGGGGAGCAAACAGG